CCGUAGCUGGUGAAAAAAUAGCCUUUACCGUCCCCGGGAAGGUUAGCUACCACUGAGAAGUCUGAAGCCUUUCUGCUUUUGAUAAUACAAUAUAUUGUUUCUCUUACUGUAAAAGGAAGUUUAUUACCAAUAAUAAAAAAAAAAAAGGUAUUUUUAUGAAGAAAAAAAAAAAAGAGAAAAAAAAAAAAAAAGAGAUAAAGAAGCGUAUUUUGAAAUAAAUGCAUUUUGUAUGGUUUCCUUUUCUAAACUCCUGGUUUGUACUACAGAUUGCAGAAAUCACCCCGCAGCCCCCCCCGCUGAACCCUCCCCGGGGCAGUGGGGGACGAGGCCGAGAAUUCCCACAGGGCUCCGGAGCCGCCCCGACCACCUCCAGCGACGGCAAAAUCGGCGACGCGGACGGGGCCGAGGCUGACGCUGGUGAGGAGCACAGGGCAGCGACACGCACACCAGAUCGAGUUCCCUUGAACCUGUCCCCGUCAGCAACGCGCCAAGCACAACCUGCUGAGAACGAGACCGCCGAAAGGGUUGAAGCUCGGGUCCCGCUCGCGUCUGAUCUGCCAAAAAAAGGGUGUGAUACCAACGCAGUGUACAUAGUGUAUAGUAGGGGAGAGAGUAAGUGUAUCUCAAUCUGUCGUUAUUUUGCUAACCAAAGCUGUAAAAUUUCCUAUUACUUGCUAUUGUCUCCUUUGGAUUUUGAAUGGGUUACGAUAUACUACGCAUCCAGUCCGCAUCAGCAGUUCUGACAAUGCACUGUUUCUACUGAUACUCAUGCUUUUUCCAUUUUAUUGCCGAGAUUACAUGAAUUGUUGACUUUAUUUUUACACAAUAAAGAGUGAAGAAAGACAGUGGGCUCUCUGAGG
rnacentral:lncRNA from 1 species